UAGGAUUUCAGGUACUUUUAGAAUCAAACCUGGAAAGGAUACAAAAAGCAGAAGCAAGACCAGCAUUUGGGAGAACAGAUUAUGGACAAAAAAUUCCAUGGGCAAGAUUCACUCCAGUGACUCCUGGUUUUGCCCGUUUUCACCUAGAUCAGACUUUUUAAAUCAACAGUACCUUAUAUUGAAACAUCACUUCUCAUUUGCUGUUUGGACAAUGGUGAUGGAACUGCUGCUUUAUUGCCCACGGAGAAACGAAGCGAAGAGUCUAAAGUGGGUCUUGCAGUUACACUGGACAAAAGAAGUUUGAAACUGAGGCUUGGUCCUGAAGAACACAUAGCGAAG
rnacentral:lncRNA from 10 species